AUAUAUUAAAAUUAGUCUAUGUUCUGUAAAAUACAUAAAAAUUAGUGAUUAGAGAUGAAGGAAAGUAACUCUAUUUGCAAGAUUAGUCAAAAAAAUUCACAGUAGAUGAAAAAAAAAUCAUGAUAAAUUCUAGUUUUCCCAGACUUUAUCGAAUAGAAUAAAUUAUGAAAAACUUAUAAAAAUGUAGAAUUUUGGAAAUUCUUCUAUUUGUUAUGAUAGAUUUGUUUAUGGAGAUGAUUGCAAAGAUAAAUUUUGAAAGAUAAAUCUCACAAUCAGUUCGUUUUUUACAUUAAAUUGUAAAGGAAGGUUACCAAUACUGGUAUUCCACUUUUUGAGUAGUAUUUUUUUAAACAAGAACUAAAAAUCAACUUUGGAAACAUAAAUAUAAACAGAAAGUGUCUUUUAUCAAACAAUAUAACAGUUUUAUAAUAUUGCUCCAUAUUUUAUAAUAAUUUUCGGAAUAUAACAAAAAAUAAAUGUUUGUAAAAUUUUGACCUGAAAAUUGAGGUAGUAAGCUACAUUUUUUUCCUUUUCUUUUCCUUUAACAUGAGUCAUUUGUACAAAAUAUUUACAAGUUAAUAUCUAUGAGAAUUUCUAGAAACCUUUCAUUUUGAAAUGUAAAACAUUUUUUUGUUGAUAUAUUUUGUUGAUUAUAUAUCCGCAAUUAUUUUAUCAGCAAGAUGCAACAUAUAGCAUAACUAUAUAAAUUACACAUAUUAGAUUAGAUUAAAUUUGUUUUUACUAGAGUUAGUUUUUAUAUAAAAAAGCUAUAAAUAUACGAAGUAUGGGUUCGUAUAUUUAUGGUAUAUAAAUAAUAAAUGUAUGAAUUGUGGGUUUUUAUUUCUUUAAUUAUUUAAGCAGUUUUUCAUCAAUAUUACAACAUUAAUACAGUGCAAUAUUCAAUUUCUGAGAAAUAAGCGGGAUACCACUUUAUGUCAGUAAUGGUAACCUCUAUUAUUUUCAUAUUUAAAAAAAAACAAUCGUCGGUGAUUUGUAAUGACAUAUGAGUGAAGAAUCGGAAAUAAAAAAUGUGACAUUUUUUACGAUUGUAUAAAAAGAUGAUAAAAAUAUUAAACUGGCUUGGGUAUGCAAUGGCUUUGGUACAUUCCUGAUCGCUAGAAAUGCAAGAGAGAUGCAACUAAAACUCGUUUGCCAACUGUUGUGCGCAUAUAAUGAAGAAAGUAGGUUUUUAAGUAUGGGCAUAAGAGCUACUCGCGUAAUAUCCGGUAUGAUGACUCACACUUUGAUUGCCGAUGCUGUAAGUGUAAAUGAUCCGCAUAUUUAUUAUAAAUAUAACAAUCCAAGUAAGCUUCCUUUUACUGCUCCAGCAGGAAAUUGAACUCAACGAAGUUACAACAGAGUUGUAAUUCACCUUCUUGCUCGACGACAGGCGCGAAAUAUCUAUCCUGUUGUGACUUUUUCUUUCCCGAAUGAAACUCGUCGAAAUGUCACCGAUUUCCAUUCAUAACGCAAAAAUCAACGUAAAAUGUCAGUGGACAUAUCAUUCAACGAAGUUUUUGCUCUACAAUACCAGCUAUAAGUUGUGGUUGUUUCAGAAAAGUAUAUUUUUUAGAUUUAUUUUUUCUUAUUCAAUAAUAAACAAUUUUUUAAAACCUCAAAUUUUGAUUUUAAAAUGAGUAUUAAAUCUGCAAAGAAGAAAACAAUGAAAAUUUUGGAUUACAAUGGCUUAUGCAAAAAUGACCACGUUUUGUUGCAAUUUUAGACUUUUAACUUUUAAAUAAAGAUAUAAUUAAACUUUUGUACAAAUAUUUAUUUUAGAGUUUUGUUAGUAUAUGUAAAAAGUUUGAUUUAAUUUGUAAUGUUAGUUGUCUAGUACUCAUCAAAGUGACUACAAAAGUCAAAUUUACAUAAAAAUCAAGAGCAAAUAAAAAAUUUAAAAAAUUUUUAGAAAACCAAUAAGAGAAUAUAUUCAAAUUUUACACACAAAUAAUCAAACAUAAUAGAAUCUAUGAAAUUUAUAAAUACUUAACAAUAUUUUGUAAAAGAUAUACAUCCUUAAAUGAUUAUGGCAGAUAUAGAUUUCCUAAUUUCUGCAGUCAAUUUAUAUUCUGUUAAUUAAUUUUAUUGUUUUACUGUUUUUGUUUUUAUCUCCAAAAAUUUGUGAUAGAUCUUGUAAAACUGUUGACAAAUAUGGGUAUCUGGAUCUAUUAUUUAAAUGGUUACAAAACUGCAGCUUCGUUUUUGCAAUUAAUCUAUCAUAUUCUAUUAACGGAUUUGAAUGCUUCUAUUGCUAUUCUAUAAAAAAAUUGAUUAUAGAUAUUUAAAUGGUUAUUAUUUAAGUAAACUGAUUUGGCAAUCAACAUGCCAUCAUAUUUUACUAAUAAAUUUUAUUAGUAUUUUACCAACAAUUGUAACAGAUUCUUUACAAAAUCUGUUUUCGAUAGACAUAGCUAUUUACACAUUAUUUAAAUGUUUACGAAAUAGAUUCUAUAAUCAAUUCAUUAUCACAUUCUGUUCAGAUGUAACAGAUUUUGUGUUUAGGUUUUUUCUGUUUAUUCUGUUCUUCUUAAUAUUUUUUUCUUCACUUAUGCUCUUGGAAUCAUUUUAAAAUUCUUAUCAAACAUUAAAUAAGAUAGAUUCUUGGCUAUUUAGGUAUCAUUUCAUUCUGUUGUAAUUCUAUUCGGAUCUAUUUGAUCCAAAAUAUGUUCAAUCUUUUUGUCAAUAUUUUAUUAAAAAAUUUUUAUUUCUAAUACUUUAGUAACUUUGUCAAUUAAAUGUAAGAUUUCUC